UUAAGUUGGUCAAGAGGAGUAAGCAGAACAUUCAGAUUAAUGGCACUGGUUACUUACCGGACCUGCACUUUCUGGUUUCUCAGCUGGUGUUUUAGCAGCAGUACCUUUGGAAGACUCUGUUCUCUUAUCUGGAGUUGAACCCAGAUAGUCUGGUGGUGGGAGGACAACACCAGCUUUUUCUGCAAGAUUGACUGAACUGAUACUUCUAACCGGCGCAGUGCUGCAAGACAGAACCCAGCAGGCAAUCAGUAUUGGGGUGUGAAGCACCAGAGGAGAUUCAGAAGUCAGGAGGAAUUUUUUCAUGGUGCCUGGGCCUCCCUGGACAAUCUGCACAGGUACUGGUGGAGCUGCUGUUUAUGGAGCUGAAGAGAUGUGUGGACGUGGCACAUGGUGUAGGGCUGGACUUGCCAUCAAGACCCAUCCCUCCAUGGUGUACAUUGGGGUUCUGGUAACCCUGUGCCUGGGGCAUCUCCAUUAUGAAGAAAGGAUGGCAGACCUGGGGCAGUUCAGCCUGGAGAAGAGAGGACUGAAGGAUGUACCUGGGGGAGGAGAUGGUGAAGAAAAACUGAUUGCUUAACAUCAGCUGAAUGGCUGCAUGCCUGCCCAGCCUCACCAGCAGUGAUGGCAUUGUGUUUGGGGGGUUGCAAUGACACGCACUGUUUGGAUGUGCUGUAUGAAAACCCAGAGCCAUCGCACACAGGUGGGCAUUGAGGGCAGCAGUACAGACACGUGCGCCCGUCUCAGGCUGCAGAAGGUCAUGCAGCACGAGGCACAGCGAGAACCUGAACAGCUGAUCUAUCAGUGAACACACGGAGCUCUGCGACAGACAGUGGGGCAACGUACGAACUGCAGAGAAGCUCAUGCUUAAGAAUGAAAGAUUGAAGGUUUGAUUUUCCUUCUUUCCUCCAGCAGACUCAUCAAAAGUUUAUAUGCAGAAUACUGAACAUCAAAAGGCACAGUACCAAUUCUAGAGGAAAAUCUUCUCAAUGUGAACAUUGAGCUUGAUUUAACCUUAUAAAUGACCUUGGGAAGUAGAACUAUGAAUAGCAGAAGUUUCCACUAACUCAGCUACUGUUUCCAUCUCUAGCAGUGUAGAAAGGCUGGCUGCUCUUCUCCUACCUUACUUAUGGCAGAUUGGAGGUCUGUGUAGCACCGAAACAAAGUUAUCACAAAAUUAGGAAAUACAGAACCUCACUCCUGAAGAAGUGAAAAGCACCUUGUAUUUCAUUUUCAAUCACUUUUUGUUAUAUAAGAAUUCAGUCCCUUUUUUCAAUCCCAUUUUAUUAUAAAUACAUUAUAACUGUACUUCAUUAAUGCUCCAUAGGAAAAGCUGGCCUGACCUACUAACUGCUUCAGCUGCAACCUCUAAGCUGGUUUCCCAGAAGUUUCCACAAGAUGAGGUGCUAAAAAGGUUCUGUAGCUGCUGGCACACUUCACUUGCUUUCUGUCCAACAGUCUCUUCUGAAAGUAGAACAUUUAUGCUAUCCAGGAGAUGGCAGUGAUGCAGUAAGGUGGGACAAGAUGACAGAUCUUUCUUUAGAUUAAAGCAGCCAGCGAAGGACAGGGUGCUAGGUGUCAUCUUUCGAAGGCAAGUGAAACAGGAUUCCAGCUGAAAGGGUCAAUUUAUCUGCUUAAAUAAGCCAACAACUCUUUUCUCUCCACUGCCCAUGAGUUUUCACCCACUUUUUAAUUUUUAUUUUAAGUACAACUAGCUUCAUUUAUCCUAAACUAUUACAUUUCCUGUUCUCCUGCUUGUCUUUGUCAAUAGUGAGAGCAACACUUAAGUGCCAUGUCACAGAAGUAGAAGGGAUAGCUGUUCCCAGCUUUAGAGAAGUACAGGCUCAGAUGUCCAUUUUGCUUAUUAAUAAGGAAGGAAAAAGUUCUGAGUGCCAAACACCAGCAAGACACUGCUUUUGAAAGAUGGUGUAACCUUAUGGUCAGCUUAGCAUUUUUUUCACCAAGAAUGUAUUUUCUUUUAACAGAAUAAAAAUGUUCUCAUUGCAUUCCAAAUAAUUUUGCAUGGGCACUUAAAGCUCACUGUUUCUUGUAUAGAAAAUCUCUACAGCUAGAAAGGAGAAACAGUAGAAAAGUCCACUGGGUUUA